rnacentral:rRNA from 1 species
UGAAUACGAGACGCUAAGGCGUCGAAGUAGUGUAUGUCAUACUUCCAAGAAAAGCUUGCACUGUCAUAGAUAAAAAACGCCUGUACCAUAACCGACACAGGUGGGUAGGUAGAGUAUACUAAGGGGCGCGAGAUAACUCUCUCUAAGGAACUCGGCAAAAUAACUCCGUAACUUCGGGAGAAGGAGUGCCUUAUUCUUAAGGUUGCAAUAACAAGAUCCAAGCAACUGUUUAUCAAAAACACAGGUCUCCGCUAAGUCGUAAGAUGAUGUAUGGGGGCUGACGCCUGCCCAGUGCCAGAAGGUUAAAGAAGCUGGUUAGCAUUUGCGAAGCUAGUAACUGAAGCCCUGGUGAACGGCGGCCGUAACUAUAACGGUCCUAAGGUAGCGAAAUUCCUUGUCGGGUAAGUUCCGACCCGCACGAAAGGCGUAAUGAUUUGGAUACUGUCUCGGAGAGGGGCUCGGUGAAAUAGACUUGUCUGUGAAGAUGCUGACUACCUGCACCAGGACAGAAAGACCCUAUGAAGCUUUACUGUAACUUGAAAUUGAAAUUGGACUUUAUUCGCGCAGUAUAGGUGGGAGGCGUUGAUUAUAAUCUUGCGGGAUUAUUGGAGCCAUUAGUGAGAUACCACUCUUGUAAUGUUAGAUUUCUAACUUUGAAUCAUUAUCUGGUCAAAGAACAGUUUCAGGCGGGCAGUUUGACUGGGGCGGUCGCCUCCUAAACGGUAACGGAGGCGUACAAAGGUUUCCUCUGAACGGUUAGAAAUCGUAUCUAGAGUGUAAAGGCAUAAGGAAGCUUGACUGUGAGACCUACAAGUCGAGCAGGGACGAAAGUCGGUCUUAGUGAUCUGACGGUACUGAGUGGAAAGGCCGUCACUCAACGGAUAAAAGUUACUCUAGGAUAACAGGCUGAUCUCCCCCAAGAGUUCACAUCGACGGGGAGGUUUGGCACCUCGAUGUCGGCUCAUCGCAUCCUGGGGCGGUAGUACGUCCCAAGGGUUGGGCUGUUCGCCCAUGAAAGCGGUACGCGAGCUGGGUUCAGAACGUCGUGAGACAGUUCGGUCCAUAUCCGGUGUAGGCGUUAGAAUAUUGAGAGGAGCCUUCUUUAGUACGAGAGGACCGAGAAGGACAUACCUCUGGUGUACCAGUUAUCGUGCCAACGGUAAACGCUGGGUAGCUAUGUAUGGAGUGGAUAACCGCUGAAAGCAUCUAAGUGGGAAGCCCACCUCAAGAUAAGUAUUCUCAUC